rnacentral:lncRNA from 1 species
UUCCACCAUGAUUGUGAGGCCUCCCCAGCCAUAUGGAACUGUGCCUCACUCUAGUCCUGACCCUGUUACCACCAAAAUAUCCCCACUGAGGAACUUCUAGUGAAUAUAUUUCAAGAAGAAGGGAACUAACCCCAGGAAGAAGACUGAAAGCUUCAUGAGGAUAAACUGAGACUCUUCGCUAUUGAAAUUCUAUUGCCAGGCGCAUCCCCCAGCCCACAUCUACAGAUAUUUGAGCACCGAUCACGAUGGUUAAUUUUAGGUGUCAACUUGUUUGGAUUAAGGCAUACCUAGAGAACUGGUAAAGCAUUAAUUUUAGGUGGAUCUGUGAGAGUGUUUCCAGAGGAGAUUGGUGUGUGAGUCAGUGGAUUGAGUGGGGAAGAUCAACCGUCAAUGUGGGUAGGCACCAUCCAGUCAUCUGGAGGCCCGGAAAGAAAAAAAGGCAGAGGAAUGGUGGAUUCUUUCUCUCUCUCUCUCUCCUGGGGCUGGGAAACCCUUCUUCUCCUGCCGUUGGACAUCAGAACUCUGGGCUCCUCGGCCUUUGGGCUCCAGGACUUACACCAGCCCUCCCUGGGUUCUCAGGCUUUUGUCCAUGAACUGAGAGUGACACCAUCAGCUUUCCUGGUUCUGAGGCCUUCGAACUUGGACUGAGCCACACUAGUGGCAUCCAUGGGUCUCCAGCUUGCAGAUGGUCUAUUGUGGGACCUCUCCAUAAUCGCCUGAGCCAAUUCUCCUGAUAAAUCUCCUCUCAUAUGUCUAUAUUUUCUAUUGAUUCUAUCUUUCUGGAGAAGUCAAAUACACAUACUACCUUCAAGCACUGUUCUAAGUACUACAGAGAUAGGCAAUGAUGAGCAAAAUAUAGACAUGAUUCCUGUCUUUACAACCCUUGCUGUCUAGGCUCAUGAUUUUUAAACAUUUCAACUGGUACACACUUACCACACAAUGAUAAAGAUUUGAUGUAUCUUUAGUACAUGACGUACUCUGAUGUUUUCUAUUUUAUUCAUGUUUUUUCCUAAAUUAAAAGGGCUGUCACAACCUGCUAGUUGAUUUUAUGACCCAUGACUGCUCAGAUUAUUCUUGCAGUUUGAAAACCAUUGACCCAGUGCAGAGGUUCGGAAUCUCUUCUCUGUCAUGGAUUCCUCAAAAACAUAUUUUACAAUGCACAAAACAAUGUAUAUAGGAUUAGAAAGGAAACCCACUACCUUAAAGUGCAAUUACAAGAAUAUUUUAGUAAACGAAUGUGUCAUAUAUUAAUAUGUGUGCUUCAUUAUUAAUGCAUUCAACACAAGAUCUGACAACCAACUCAUAUUGCUGUAAUUUUGAAGUGAUGAGCAGAAAUGCUAUUUUUAGAAUUCUGCAACUGUAAUGUGAUAUUAAAAUAUCUAUGAUUAUUAUUAGUGACAAAGUCAUAGGCACUGCUAAUACUACUUUUGAGUGUCACAUUCAUGAUUGAAGGAAUGCUACAUUUCAGGUUAGUGAAAACAAAGAAAUGUUUUUUCACCAUCCAAAUUAAUAAAUCCCAAAAUGUCUGUGGAUCCCCAGAUAGGAAUCCCUGGUCUAAUGGAUCCACAUUUUAUCUCAGUAAUACCAAAAAAAAAUUUUUUUUCUAAGA